rnacentral:misc_RNA from 1 species
UUAUCAUUUAGAGGAAGGAGAAGUCGUAACAAGGUUUCCAUAGGUGAACCUGUGGAAGGAUCAUUGUCGUCUCUGGAACCACCACCGGCGAACCAGUCCCGCGGAAAUGCCACUCGAGUACGCGGCCCCUGGUGAUGACCCGGGGGCGCACGUCCCGACGAGCUCCGAACAACCCCUUCAGGCGCGGCAUCGCCUAGGAAUAGAAGCAGAAAGGGCAGCCGCCUCACCCGGUGCUAGCGCGCCCCCAUCCAGGGACGCUGCAUCGCCAUGGGGAUCCACCGCCCGUCUGUGAACCAUUUAUAGAUGACUCUCGGCAACGGAUAUCUCGGCUCUCACAUCGAUGAAGAAUGUAACGAAAUGCGAUACUUGGUGUGAAUUGCAGAAUCCCAAGAUCCAUCGAGUCUUUGAAUGCAAGUUACUCCCGAGGCCACUCGGCCGAGGGCAUGCCUGCUUGGGCGUCACGCCACCCAUCGCCCCCUCUCGCAGCAUUCCCAUGCCCGACCGGGGAGCAGAGACUGGCCGUCCGUGCCCGAGUCCUCGGCGCACGGCGCGCGGUUGGCAGAAAAGGAGGGCACCGUGCGGCGCAACACGACGUGUGGGGGUUGAGAGGCGAUCUGUCUCUGAUCGUACGUCGCCCCCGCAUUCCGCUGCGCGUAGUGUCACCCGUGGGACCAGACUAGCCCGCAGCCGCGGGCGCUCGGACCGCAACCCCAAGUCAAGCGUGGCCACCCGCUGAAUUUAAGCAUAUC